rnacentral:rRNA from 1 species
UACGGAGGGGGCUAGCGUUGCUCGGAAUCACUGGGCGUAAAGCGCACGUAGGCGGCUUCUUAAGUCAGGGGUGAAAUCCUGGAGCUCAACUCCAGAACUGCCUUUGAUACUGAGGAUCUUGAGUUCGGGAGAGGUGAGUGGAACUGCGAGUGUAGAGGUGAAAUUCGUAGAUAUUCGCAAGAACACCAGUGGCGAAGGCGGCUCACUGGCCCGAUACUGACGCUGAGGCACGAAAGCGUGGGGAGCAAACAGG